UACAGAGGGUGCGAGCGUUAAUCGGAAUUACUGGGCGUAAAGCGCGCGUAGGCGGCUUUGCAAGUCGGGUGUGAAAUCCCCAGGCUUAACCUGGGAACUGCAUUCGAGACUGCAUUGCUAGAGUAUGGGAGAGGGAAGUGGAAUUUCCGGUGUAGCGGUGGAAUGCGCAGAUAUCAGGAGGAACACCGAUGGCGAAGGCAGGUCACUGGGCCGCAACUGACGCUGAGGAGCGAAAGCAUGGGGAGCGAACAGG
rnacentral:rRNA from 1 species